rnacentral:rRNA from 1 species
AUUGAACGCUGCCGGCAGGCCUAACCCAUGCAAUUCGACCGAUUAAAGGAGGUUUCUCCUUGAAUCAACCGGCGACCGGUUGGGAAAUGCCAAGAAAUUUCCUUGUAAUUGGGGAUAACCGUCCGAAACCGGGCCCAAUUCCCCCUACCGCCUUGGGGACGAAAUUGGGGGUCCUCCGACCCCCCCCUAUCCAGUUAACCUUAGUUCGGAUAACUUAGUGGGUGGGUUAAAGGCUUACCAAGGCGACGAUCCGUAACUGGUCUGAAAGGAUGAUCAGUCACACUGGAACUGAGACACGGUCCAGACUCCUACGGGAGGCAGCAGUGGGGAAUAUUGGACGAUGGGCGAAAGCCUGAUACAGCCAUGCCGCGUGUGUGAAGAAGGUCUUCGGAUUGUAAAGCACUUUAAGUUGGGAGGAAGGGCAGUAAGUUAAUACCUUGCUGUUUUGACGUUACCAACAGAAUAAGCACCGGCUAACUUCGUG